GUAAUUAAAGCUUUUUCUUCUUUCUAACUCGUCAGAGGAUAAUUCAAGAAUAACGUACACAUUAUUGAAUGGUCAAACUUAAAACAUUUCACACCAUGGAGAGAGGAUCCUGGUCCUUCAUUCCAAACCGUCGGAUAUAUCAACUAUCAAAAUAUAUAAUCACCAAUUUAUCAUUAUCCAAAAGCAAUACAGUCAAAUACACACACAUGUAAUCUUACAAAUUUUCUGUAUUCAUUGAUUGCUAAAAGAAAAAUGGUUGCAGACUACUAGUUAUCCUGGGGUUUCGGUGACGACAGAACCCACGACGAGACCAACAACCACGAACUGGUGAUUUAAGAGACAACGACAAGGACUAGCUGCGACGACGACGGGCAGUGAUUCAGAACUGACGACGACGGCGUGUGAUUUCAGAACCGACGAGUGACCGACCAUGAUUAGGCUAUGACAUCCAACUUCGAAGAGAAAAAGAACGGGUUCUAGGGAUUUUGUUUUUUUUUUUUGGUAUUUAUAUUUUUGAUUUAAUGAGGGUAGUUUAGGAAUAUUUGAAUAUGACUGGGGGUAAAAUGAAAAUUUUAAAAAAUGGGAGAUUAAUUCCAUGGGAGGUGGGAAUUAAUCUCUUAUUCCUUAUUCUCAAAUAGUUGUAGGCCCCACCAUUUCGAUUCGGAUUCCUUCUUUAUUUUUAUGAAGUAAACGCCAUCAAUUAUUUCAAUUCUGAAUUUUGAUUCCCUAAUCUAAAAAAUAGACGCACCAUAAAAAAAAAUAGCAAUUUUGUUGUUCGAGGCGAUUUCAGUCUUUUUAUGUAGCCAUUUAAGUUUUAAAUAAUUUCGGCCCUGAGAUUUUUUUUUUCCAUGGUAUCAGUGGGCCCACCCUGCGUACUUUCGUGAAGGACCUGGCCUUUUCUAAAUUUUCUGGGCUGGAGCAUAAAGCCCAAGUUGUUUAUACACAUUCUCAGCCCAAUGAUUUUCUUCAGAUACGCUCUUUGUAGCAACGUGAUUGAUUGUUUACGAAUAGAAUAGAAAAAAAAAAUUUUAUAAUACACACGAGCAAUAGUAAUACACAUAUGACAUAAAAUUUUAAAAAUCAAAGAAAACUCACAUUAUAUAAGGAAUUUUUAUCCCAUUUUAAGCAUAAGCUUUAUUAAUAAGUAGCCUUUAAUAAUCUUACAUCUUAAAAAUAAUCGCCAUUACCAAAUAGUCGUGGUCAUGUACAAGCAAUCAAACUAACAUAAUGAAUUUCAUCUUCUCUCGGGUAGUUUAUUAAUUAAUUAAGUACUCAUCUCAUUUUGUAUUUGGUCCACACUUUUCUUAAAAAUUUUGGGGACAGGUAAUUGUUACUAAACAGCCAACACUUGUCCAAUAUUCUUACCUCAGCUGAGCUGCUCCAAAACUUUUAUGCCUCUGUAUGUCACUUUUGCGGGUCAAACAAAGCUAUAAUCUUCAAUUCUUUCUUGAACAUAUCGACUAAGAUAAUUUUCCAACUAAGGCAAACCUCAAAAAGACAAACUGAGGUUUCAAAAUGAUACUCUACAAGUAACUAUUGCGAACACAAUUCAGCCAUUUCAAUCAUACAACAAAGCAUAGCAAUUUAGAAGAGUGAGACCAAUUAGGAUCGAAGAGGGAAAAUGGACUUUGAAUGCAAAGGUACGUAAUGAGUUUCUUUUAUCAGUACAAAAAUUACACACAAUAUGUAUUAGAUUCUUUUUCUAGUACUGGAAACAUCUGCACAUUUGAAGAUGUGAAUUGUUAUUUAUAUUUCUAAAUUUACUUUUAAAACGUACAGAUAUCUACAUUGAGAAACUAUUUAUCGUAUGUGUAUAAUGUUUUGUAUUUUGUGUGUAGGUAAGAGUUCAUGGUCGGAGCUGGUGGGAGUCGAAGGGAAGGUGGCAGCAGAAACAAUUGAGAGGGAGAAUCCAAUUGUAUCUGCUCAUAUUUUGUUGGAGGGAAGCAAUGUGUUCCUGGAUAAGUAUUGCGGUAGGGUUUAUGUUGGGGUUGACACUAACAGCAUUGUUGUUGAGGUUCCUACCAUUGGUUAAUUAAUUACUGCUAUUUUCUGAAUAAUCAUGUCCCUUGUGCAAAAAUUAACGAAAUAAAAGAGAUUGUAUUCCCUGCGCUGUACUUUCUGUAGCAAAAUAACAAUAUACAUAUUCCUCUUCUGUGUAUGGAUGCAUACGGAUCUCAAUCACGAUGCUUAGAUUAAUAAUACAACCGGUUAAUUAAUUACAAUAAGCUAUAUGUCAAGUUAUUUAAUCUGUUACAAAUGGAUUAGAUUAUAUUUGAAAUGACAUGCACCUACUUUCUUUGAAAUGUUCAUCUGCGCGGAAGGAUUCAUAGUUUCGUACACAAUUUAAUUACUCGUAAUUAAGGCUUUUUCUUCUUUCUGACAUGUCAGAGGAUAAUUCAAGAAUAACGUACACAUUAUUGAAUGGUCAAUCUUAAAACAUUUCACACCAUGGAGAGAGGAUCCUGGUCCUUCGUUCCAAACCGUUGGAUAACUAUCAAAAUAUAUAAUCACCAAUUUAUCAUUAUCCAAAAGCAAUACAGUCAAAUACACACACACAUGUAAUCUUCCAAAUUUUCUGUAUAUAUUCAUUGAUUGCUAAAAGAAAAAUGGCUGCAGACUACUAGUUGUCCUGGGGUUUCGGCACGUCAUCUCCUCGUCAUUGAAGUGAAGGGCUUGAUAGUCUCCUUGUAUGUAUUGUGUGAGUAAUUUUUCGUUUUAUCUGGAGAGCAUAUUUUCUAGCUUGAUUAAUUAAAAUAUUAUAUAACAACCCGAGUCCUGAAUAUUAAAGAUAAUAUUUCACAUCCCAUGAAAAUGAAUCUUGUAUUAAUCAUAUAUAUACACACACACAUACAAGGAUUAGACAAUUCUCAGCCAUCGAUAUAUUUUUAAUAUGAGUUAUUAGGCGAUGGUUUCUAUGUCCAUAAACUGAUUAAAGUAGUUUAUUUCAGUUACAUAUAAUAUCGAAUUAAUACAUGGGUUCCUGCGUCGGCUCAGCUACGUGAACAUUUAUGCCUCCAUAUAUCUUACGGCCAGGGGUCAAAGAUUGCUAAUUUGAAUCGAUCUGUGGAAUUAAAUUCAUGUUUCUAAAGUACGUAAAUUGUCAACUAAAUCUACUUUAAGCUAUAGAAAGUCAAAAAUCACCAACAACAAGCUACCAAUGAGACUUUAUAAAUACACCCAUGAUCGGCCAUUUAUAUCUCAACAGCCAGAAACAAAUCAGCAAUUUUAUUACUAGAAGAGAAAAGGAAGAAAUGGCAUCGGAAUGUAGAGGUAAUAACCUAAUUACUUCUGUAGUGUAGCUAAUAACGCCAAUGAAAUGCUUUUACAUUAGGGUUUCCUCUAAUUACAAAACGUUUUGUUUCUGUACAUGCAUGUAGGUAAGAGCUCGUGGCCGGAGCUCCUUGGAGCUCAAGGUGUGGAAGCAGCAGCAACAGUUGAGAGGGAGAAUCCUUUAGUGAAUGCUCAGAUUGUUUUGGAAGGAAGCUUUGUCACUGCGGACUUUUUAUGCACGAGGGUUCGUGUUUGGGUCAACACCCGUGGCACUGUUACUAGGGUUCCAACCAUCGGUUAGAGAGGGCUCCAAGCCUCCGAGGACAGUCCAUGAUAUCAAAUAUUAUAAUAUAUAUGUAAUUUGCAUGAAAUUGGCAAUAAAUAAAGGGAUAUAUCCUUAUAUCCUUAUGCUUGAUUGUCAGAAUAAUAAGUCAUUUGAUAGGGGUAAUGUACGUAAUGUAUAAAUCAAUGUAAAACUAAUUCCUUUUAAAGAUAUUUAUAAUCUAUGUAUUCAGUGUUUAAUUACAUACUUUUCUAUCAUGUCAUUACAUAACUACAUAGUCAAUUAUAUAUAUAUAUAUAUAUGUAUGUAUGUAUAUAAUUAAUAAGUACGAUAUAUAUUGAUCUGACGAUAAACUACAUAACCUAAUCUAAUAGAAUACAGCUGUUUGAUAAUAUCAAAGACUAUUAAUGAUUUUUAGACAAAGUUUUAUAAAAUAAUGCAAUCAAAUCUUUUUUUCCUAUGUAUUUUUUUUAAUUUCUUUGUUGUCAGUAAAGAUUAGCAUACAGUAUUGGAAUUAUAUAUUGCCAUGAAACUUAUCCCUUUCGCUGCUGGUCAAACAAGCCAAUCUUCGAUGCUGUUUCUAAAAUAAUGGCUAACUACAACCAUUUUUCAACUAAUUAAAGUAACACCUAAAAGUCAAAAACGUCGAUAAUCAACUACAAGCUAUAUAUAUCCAUCUGUGCUAAUCGCAGAUAAAAUUCACAAACGAAGUACAGAUAGAAGAGUGAAUACCAAAGAAAAAGGGCAAAAAAAAAUGUCAUCGGAAUGUAAAGGUAAUGAUUCACUUCAGUACUGCUUUAAAAUUUUUCCUCUAAUUAGACAAUUUUCAUUUCUUAUAUAAUCUUCCUUUUGGUUUCUGCGAAGGCAAGAAUUCCUGGCCAGAGCUACUGGGAGCUAAAGGCGACGUCGCGGCAGCAAAAAUUGAGAAGCAGAAUCGUUAUGUUUCUGCUCAGAUUGUGUUGGAAGGGACCUUUGUCACCCUUGAGUUCUCAUGCUCCAGAGUUCGUGUUUGGGUCAACACCAGUGGCAUUGUCACAAGGGCUCCUGCUAUUGGCUAGGGCUCUCCAGAGGCAAUACUAAGAACCGUUUAUAUUAAUUAUUGUACUAUAUAACUAUGUAAUUAAUAAAGGGAUUCUUCUAUAUAUAAGUCUAUAUCCCCACUUAUUAUUACAAAAUUAAAUAAUAAGAGAUAUAUCGUUGUUCUGAUCUAUUGUGUUUGAAACAAAUUUAUGCGUACGGUCUCAAUCAUAUUGAAGCUUCAUAUUCUUGUUGUUAUGCUUUUGUUUGUAUUCGCACCCCAUCAUAUGUUGUGCCGACUAGGCUGAAUUUUCUUUUAAAAAUAAAUAAAUAAAUAAAUAAGGGCCAUGGACAUCAAUGAAAUGUACCCUUAAUAACUAUAAAUUUUAUGCCCCCCCCCCCCCCCCCCNNNNNNNNNNNNNNNNNNNNNNNNNNNNNNNNNNNNNNNNNNNNNNNNNNNNNNNNNNNNNNNNNNNNNNNNNNNNNNNNNNNNNNNNNNNNNNNNNNNNNNNNNNNNNNNNNNNNNNNNNNNNNNNNNNNNNNNNNNNNNNNNNNNNNNNNNNNNNNNNNNNNNNNNNNNNNNNNNNNNNNNNNNNNNNNNNNNNNCUUCAAGUUCGUAUUUUCGUGUCAUGAAUCCUUGCGUUAGGAGUUUCUACAUUAUGCCCCUCCCUCAAACCUGAACUCUUGGUUUGGUUACAAGUACUUGAGAUACACAAUUCGCACCCCUACUUGGUUGUCACCCACUAGCUAACCAUAUAACAAAGGAAAGGUUAAUAGAAGAGGUCCAUGCAGUGUCUCAUGGUUAAAGGAUUUAUUGUUCAAAGAACACGGCCGAUGAAGCUACAUAAAUUCAAACUCCAAGAAAGAAACAACUACAUAUAUCUUGCCGCACGAAUACCCAUUACCAAUUUACGAUAUUGUUACUAGUACAUAUGUCCACCAAAUCUUUACACAUGAACUAAAACCCAAUAUUUUUCUUUGGCCACACUUGAUCGAUAUAAUUGGCUAAUUAAUAUGUGUGUUUGAUUGCCUCAUUAAAGAGUAAGUGUUUUCAAUUUUCUUGCAUUGGAAUUAAGAUGGAAGGAAAUGUAAAUAAAAUUAUCUGGUUUGUCUUAUGUUUGUUGGAAGAAUUAGACACUAGUCAAGAAGAAUAUUACUAAAAAAAUGAUAAGCUUUGGUAAAACCACCAUGCGGGCCGGUCUCAUUGACUCAUUCUCAUAUAUAUGUCUUCAAAUAACCUAACAAUAAUAAUCCAGCCGGCCAGCCAUUAUUUUUUCGGAUGAAUCUAAGCCUAUUUUAUGCUAUAAAUACCAUCUUAGUGCUCUCUACUCUAUAUCGCGAAAGAAAGAAGAAAUUAAAGAAGUGAAGAUGUCAAGUAGUUGUCCAGCCGGUGAGUUUUAUAAAUACUUAACUAAUUAAUCGUAAUAAUUAAGCUUGAAUAUUUAUCAAAUUACCUGUAGCAUUUGAUUGAGUGUUUUUUCAAAUUGUUGUAUCUAAUUACAGGCAAAGGUUCGUGGCCAGAGCUAGUGGGGAUGAAUGGGGAGGCAGCAGCACAUAUUAUAAUGGCAGAAAAUCCAAAGGUCGGGGCCACAACUGUUGAUGAGAACGCAAUUGUGACCACGGAUUUUCGCUGUGACAGGGUCAGAGUCUUUGUUAAUGACCACGGCAUUGUCACUCGGGUGCCUAGAAUUGGCUAAUUAAUUAAUUAGCGAAUUAAGGCUUAAUUUCAGUGUUAGUGUGUUCCUAAUAAUAAUGUAUGAAAGGACAGAGAAACCUUUAAUGGUGAACUUCGUGUUGCUCUUAGAUUGUAUUAAUAGGAAAUUAAUACAUUAGGAGUGUGAGUAUUUAAAAUUUUAAAUGUCAUGUGUUUGAUAUAUGAUCAGCUUGUCUGAAGUUUCUUCAUCUCUUUGAAUUAAAAUUACCUUUUAGAGAUUAUAAUUACUUCUAUCAUUUACUCGUUUGUUUUGAUUCUCGUGCAACAACACUUAGGUUGGCUUGGAAGUUGGAAGCUAGCGACCGAUAUUGACAUUUUUGUUAGGGUUUGGGAGUAUAUGAUAUUCCAUUAUCACAACAAUAAUGUUAUUUUCACAAAUUUUAUGUAAAUUUCUUUUAACAAACCAAUAUAACAUAAAUAGUCAUUAUUUCAAGUGCGGAUGACUUCGUUUCUUGAAACGUAGAUUUGAGGUUUUACAACAUUAUAAAUACAUUUACAAUAUUAUAAAUUGUUGAAAAAUCAUUUUACAAUAUUGUAAAAGCGUCAAUAACCCAACUUUUAAAUUAUAUUAUGCAAAAAGAUGCAGUUUUUCAAAAUUGGUUGGAUGAAAUAUAAAUAGUAAAACAAAUCAUAUGUGCCAUGUAGUUUUUUAUUUUUUUUUUAUUGAAUGCUUUUAUAUCAUGAGUCUUUCUUUAGUGUAGAUAUCUACAUUUUUAAAAUAUAGAUUCAAGAUUUUGCAACAUUAAAAAAGGCUUUUGAGUAACAAGUCUCUUCUAAAAUUGAUUUUUGAUCGAUAGGAGUCAUCCACUCACUGACAUUAACCUCAUGCUCUUGGUAUUCUCUCCCAAUAAAGAACUUCAUGAGGACUCUUAUUUUGUUUGUUGCAAGCCUGAUUUCUCUUUAAAACAAAAGAAUAAAUAAAAGGGAUAAAAUGUUAAUAUCAAACCAUGACAGCUUAGUAUGGUUAUUAGCCAUUAAUGGUUUGAGAUUUUGUCUUAACAAUAAAACCAAAAAAAAAAAUUCAGAAUCUAAAGAAAUCACUAUGUAGCUUGAGUAAUGUCUGUGAAUUUUGGUUUCAUAGUUAUGACCAAGAAUCCAAGAUGUUCUUCACCUUUAGUCUGUUAUUGUGAAUUUAAAUAGGGAUAAAAUUUUAACGGGGUUUGACAAGGACUUUGAAAUGGUGCCAAUAGCAUCUAAGGUCCAAUUUUAACAAGGCCCAAAAACUACAAAUUUUCAUAGAGGCCCUAAAAAUCUCAAAUUUUUAUGAGUCAAUCAAGCACGUUAAUGGGUCGGCUUGGAUUCGAUCUCCUUGCAUUAAAUUCCCUUGCGAAAACGAUCCACCAUAACUCAUUCCCUGUCGUGUAUGUCACUACAUUGUCAAUUAAUUUACUGCGACGCAUGUGAUUUUCAUACAAAUAUGAUCAAGAUUUGGCCCUUUUUUUUUUUUUUAGUAAUAAUAUAGUCAUAAAUUUUUGUAUAAAUUUAUUUUGUACAAAUUGAUAUGUCAUGAUAAAGUUGGUUGAAUUAAAUAUAUCUUGGCCCACAUUAUCUAUUUUUAUUAUUUUAUAUUUUCAUUCAACCAAUUAAUUAAUGCCAAAUAAAUUUGUACAAGAUAAAUUUGUACAUCACUCUUUUUUUUCUAUUUUCUUGUGUCACAAUUGAUUUUGGAUUAUACAACGUCUCGAAUCCACAAUCUUUUUUUUAAAAAAAAAAAAACCAAUAACAAAUGUUUUCAGAAAAUAAUCUUAAAAUUCAAGAUUUAAGAAUGAUAAAAAUUACCAUUUUAUUUAUAAUGUUAAGAUGGAAAUGAGAAAUUUCACUUAUUAAAUAAUACCAACCUUUACUUACUAGUAUUGCUCGAACUCAUGUGAUGGGCAGAUGCAAACCAGGAACAACGACAAAAAUUAUUUGUUUAUUUAGUGUAAAUUGUUUUCAAAAUUUUGUGCUACGUUUUUAUUUUAAAAAAUAUAUUUUCUAAUGCCGAACUAAAUAUUAGUCCCUAUACAGUUUUCCAGACGAAAGUUCCGAAGAAAGCUAGCAAUUCCAAAUUAACAAAACUUACAAACGAAUUAAUGACAGCCCAACCAAUUCAAAUCAAAGUAUAAAUUUUUUUUUUCUUAAUAAGGAAAAUGUAUCGAAAUUGUGGUUCGAGGAAUUUUUGACUUAUUUUUUUAGACUGCAUACAUGCACGUACGACCAAUUCUUAAUAUCUGAAAAUUACAGUUACACGUACCCAAUUAGAACAUAGUAUAAAUGUACCAUUAAAUCAUAAUAGUUUGAUUAUUUCGCAGGUUUAACUGUUUGACUAAAAGCUCUUGACAUUAAUAUUAUACAAUAAAAAUUUAGAAAGAAGAAGGAAAAUUACAGGAACCAUCAAAUUUAAAAAAAAAAAAAAAAAAAAAAAAACCUGGCUACAAUUAAACCUUCAAAGUCACGAGAUUUCCGUCAAGAACAUGCGUUGACCGUAAUUUUCCUUCAUCGUCUCUGUUAUAUGUAACACCAUUUGACACGAUGGAAUUCAAAGUCAGUGUCCGUUAUCUACACGGGUACACCCCCCGGCAACAAAUCAGACGGCUCGGGUUCAUUAUUCCAUUCCUCGUGUAAAUUAUUCAACACAUGCUUGUAGGUUAUUGUAUUUAUGAAACAUAUUUAGUAAGGAAAAAAAAAUUGCUGGAUAUUAGUUUGUUAUUAAAAUAUAAAACACCCAAAAUUUCCUAAAAGUGAUAAGAAACACUUAAAAUGCAACUUUUAAGGUUGAAAAUUUCGUCCAAUUAUAAAAUGAAAUGGCUAAAAUUAUACCUAUUAAAAUCAUAGGUGUACAUAAUAAAUAUUAUUAGUAUCUCUCUAUAAGUUUAUGAGCCUAAUUCAUACUCAAAAGUUAGGUUGAGAUUUGAAGAUUAAUUGCAUCAAAAUUCAAAAACCGAUCAUUUUGACGGGUACUUGUCACAUGGUAAGAUAGUAUACACCCAAUCGUACAUAAAUUUGGUUGUAAUUAAUAUCGUGUAAAAGCCCAAAGUUCCAUAAUCCAUAAUAAAAAAUUUAAUUAAAAAACUGAGGGUCAAUUACCUCAAAAUUAUAUUAUUAGUUCAAGAUCAAUCCCCAACCAAUGUGCGAUCGUCCUCUUAUCAUUCACCAGUGUUGAUUACUUGAAAUCCAAUUUAAUAACCAUAUGUUGCUAAUUGUAACUAAUGGUGGACGUGCUCGGCCACUUUUAAAAAAAAAUUGUUGCUUUGACUCCUAGUAUUAGUCCCAGGUACUGGCAAGUCGAACCACCAAACUCUAUUUUAUAUAAUUUAUGGAGAAGCUAUAGCCAGAUUGCAGAUACCUUACGUUCCCUAUCUUAAAUUCGUAUAUAAUAAAUAAAAAUUAAACCCCUUAAUUAGGACCUUGGUUUAUGCAUUUUCAAACUUUCUUUUUAAAAAUUGAAGAAAAUAAAUUUACUGCUCGUUAUUCAAGCUGGUAGGUAACGCGUAGGGUUGAUUUUGAUUUUUAGACUAUGUUGUUCAAACUUCAGACCAGAAUUAAGUCAAGUAAUUAAUUACGGUUCCAGUUCCAUCAAUUGAACAAAUUAAUAUCAAACCCUGAAGCCUAUAUAAGUACGUGUAUGCACAUAUCAAAUCUCCACCAAAACUCGCAUUAACUGAAAAGGAAAAAAGAUUUUAUUAAUUACUUCGAUUUCGAGUUCAUCCAAUCAAAUGGAGUUCCACAGAGCAAACGUCAACUUCUUCACAUUUUUGUUCAUCUUCACCAUGUUGUUCACUUCAAGUGCGGCCUUGAGGCCUUUGCUUGAGAAGCCAUUGAUCAAGAAAUAUUUCGGGAUUUGGAACCUUAUUCAUCAGUCCCUUUCCCAGGGGACUGUGCCGCCUAUUGGCCCGUCUCCUUGCACACAUAUCCCCGGUGGAAGCGGUCACUGCCCGAAUUUGAACGGCAUGAACUUUGCCGGACGUGUCGCUCGUGCACCACCGCCUCCAUUUCCCGGCAGUGACAUUAUUGAUUCCUAGGUGGCUUCCCCCCACAGAAUAAGAAUAACGAGCAAGACACAAGCGCUCUUAGUACUUGAUACAUCAUCCUUGGCUACAGGGUUUCGCGCGUAAUUAAUACUGCAAUAAAUUAAUCACAAUGUUCUUUUCCUUUUGGAUAUCAUUUUUUUGUAUUCAUAAUUUUCUUCGAUUUUUUUUUUUAAGAGCAACCAUAAAAUGUUGGUUGUCAACCCACGUUUAUCUUUUCUAUUGAAUGUAAAUAAGAUAAUUCCAAAACUAUAUUAAUAAUGGUCUUCAAAUCAUAUGUUAAUAUGAUUUUUGUAACGCACUAUAAUAAUUACUCAACGUGCAGCUUCUUCACAUUGAAUGUUUAGUCCAAGUGAGAGAUCUUGACAAUUAUCGUGAGGUGGUAGCAAUGAAAGUGGACGUCUCAUGAACUCAAUGAAAUCAUAUGGAUUAUGGAAUUUAAAUUAACUACACAUGGAGUUCAGGGGUAGGGUGAAUAUUGUUACUCGUUAUUAUCGCAAUAGUAAAAGGAUAUUCCGGUGAUAGCACAGACAUUCUAACGUAGGCUCUGGCUAAGUUACGUUAAACGUAACUUACGCCAGACACAGCAACAGUGUACAGUAGUGGGACCGCAACUGUUGCUGUGCCUGGCGUAAGUUACGUUUAACGUAACUUAGCCGGCUCCUCUAACGUAAUAAUUAAAUCGAUCGAAGAUUUUGUGUCAUAAUAUGAAAACAUCGUACAAACAUCCUUUCAUGUGUCACCAGGUGUUGAUCUCAAGUAGGUCAGUGCGAGGAAGUCCUCUUGAAGUGACAUGGAGGUGGUAAAUUAAAUUUUGUUUUGUUUAUUGAGUCAAAGUCUCAAGUUUAAUUUGCGCAUUGUGCUUAGCUCUAAUUUCCAUUUAAAUGAGGAGAAUUGAUCUUGAGAGUUGGGAUCUUGGCUAUAGACUGAUACCAUUUUAUAGAGACAAUUUCAUCCAAAAAAUUAAGCUUAUUAAAAAUAUUAAGGAAGCCACGAGUGUUAAAAACAAGUCUCAAUUACAACUAAUUUGAAUUUUGGGCUGUUCCAAUAUGUAAAUUCUUUUCUAAUUUAGUCUUAUCACAAGUGUGUGUGUGUGGGCCUGUGGGGUUCCUGCAGGUUGCUUCCGGUUUGGUACCAGCACUUGUCGAACUCGUGAUUGGUCACAUGCUAAACACGUAGGUACCAAACCAAGUAACCAAGAAGGUCGUGAACUCGUGAUGAGAGGGUACAGUGCAUUUUUGGCCGGUACUUUUUUUAUUGGUUUCUUUCUUUUGUUUUUAUUUUAUUUUUUCAAUCCUGCUUAUUUUUUGUUUUAAUUUUAAUUUUCCUUUUUAUGGCAGUCGGAUUUAUUGUUGAUUGUUGGAUGUUAUUUAUCUACUCCUCUUGACAUCUUGUAUAUUGAUAGUUAGUACUGCAAUAUGGUAUUUUGUGUUAAUUUUGUAGUAUUUUUUGUCUUCUCUAAUUGAAAAAAAAAAAUUAUCUCUAUUAAUUGAGGUUGACAACAGUCCAUAAAAUUUCUCCUACUCAUAAGUAGGUUUAAUAGGUAAAUUUUUUUUUUUUUUUUAGAUCUGUAAUUAUAUUUAUUGUUACGAGUUGUCCUAAACUAAGCUUGAGUCAUAAAUCUUAUUCUAUUUAUUGUACUUAACCUUAAUGAUCAUGUAUUUAUGUCCGUGUAAUAUUUAAUAAUUGAACUAAUUUUGUUCCUUAAUGAAAAACAUACUUUCUUUUUUUUUAAAAAAAAAAAAUUCUUGUCAUAAGUAAUUAUCGACAAGGUCAAACCUCUAGGGACUAGGGUUUCUCUAGCUAGGCCCAAAAAAACAAAAAGAGGGUUUUUGAUAGGGACGUCCGCGUACCCCCAAAAAUUUUAUCCAUUUACACCAAUCCUUUUGCAGUUUUCAGUCACAAUACACCGUUACUUGUUUGACUUCAAAAUUUUCUUAGAAGAACUUGUCACAGCCACAAAAGAGCAUUUAAUCUCCUUAUUUGUGAAUUACGCAUGUCUAUUUAUGAGACUUGGUAUGGUAUUUGACUGUGCGCGUAAUAAGUUCCCAUUAGAGAAGCCGUAAAUCUCAUAACACAACUUGGCUGGUUUACACAACACAAACUUGCCGCACAUAAAGUCCUGCACUUGAUUUAAUUUAUUUUAUUUAGCUAUAAUAUUAACUUAAAAUAAAACGAUUGUUUGAAAUUCAUUGUGUUUAUCAUGGUCAAAUUUUUGAUUUGAUAAACAUUGACCAUGGAGCUCCAAUCUGCUUAUUAGGUCAACACGUUUGUCCAAACAACUUCAAACUCCUGAGCAAUAAAUUCUACUGCGGAAACGAUCCAACGUACAUAAGUCAUCCAUGUUGGGCCAUCACAGCAUUACCAUCUCACCAGUAUGAGGCAUUUUGGGGGCAUUAUCCCACGACAACAGAUAUUGAAUCUUAUGGCUUCUGAAUAUGAGAUUAUAGGUUAUGACCAUAAAUUUUAUACAAUAUGACAGCGAAAAUCACCAACAAGUGGCAUCAAUAACAUUAUCCUAGCUCUCCUAUGAGCCAGGCCGGCUCCUGAGUUUCCAUAUUGUGAUUGUAUGAUAUUGUGAUAUAUAUAUAUAUCUGUACCAAAAAAUACAUGAAAACUAUAAUAAUUAGUACUCCAAUAUGAAAGACUGAAAUCUAGUAAUAGAUUACAAAUUUAACUGGUUUUUUCUAUACCAUACUCAUAGUCAUAAAAUAAUACAGAUCGAUUCGAUAGUAUAGAACAAUUAAUUGUUAGUGUUUUAAAAUAACAAUAAUACAGGAACCAUCGGAGAAGGAGAAACAUUAAACCAUUGAAUCCUCACAAAUCUUCAAAGUCAAUUGCCCUUUUUUUCACCUCUCUUAUAUAAACUUUUUGCGUGUACUUGCAUGUAUGAACAUGCAACGCAUGGGAUUUAAUUGAAGUCAAUAAAAUGCUUCAACCUUUGCCGUUAUAUGGUCUUAAUUAGUGUUACGUUUGUGCGUGUGAGACCAUUUUCACGAUUCAUCAAAUUCAAUACAAUGCCCCUUUUAAUUGCAUAAUUUUGUCUCCUUAUUAGAGUCGUACCCCCUGAUAUGCGCUCUAAUUUAAAGUCACGAGGAACUGAGAUUUUGUUGUAAAUUAAAAAUACUGGAAAUCGAAAAUUUAUUUUUUUAAAGCAAAAAAGUUAAGAAAAUUCUAAUUUGCUAUGUGUAUAUGUAUGUAUGUAUGUAUACGUGUGUGUAUAAGGAAUCAUUAAACAAUAAUAUGAGGUAUUCUAACAUAUUAGUUCCAUCUAAAUAUUAUGUAUCAUCUAUGUAUUGGAUAAUGAAUUUCAUAAUUUAUAAAAUUACUAAACCAUUAUCCAAUUGAUAAAUGCUAUACCUGUUGGGACUCAAAUUGAAACUUAAAUAUUGCUCAUAUUAGGAUUCCAAAAUAAAAUAUUAACACACAAUAAAAAUUGCAAAGAAAUUCUACUUUACUAUUUAGUGAAAAAAUUAAAUGACUUCUUAAAUCAUGAGGGAUUGGAACUUUAUUUCAAAAUAAAAUACAAAACCCAUAAUAAAAAAGAAAGAAAGAAACACUAAUUUUGGUAUUAAAAGAUAAUUACAUAAAAAAACAAUUCUAACUAGUGCUGAGAAACAUUUCAAACGUGAAUUAAAUAUGAAAACAGCAGCAUUUGCAGCAAAACUACGAGUCUUGGUUGUAUCAUCGGAAGCUCCCAAACAAUAUACUGAAUGUUAAAUUCUAUUAUUAUUUGUUUAGAAGUUCAUGGGCCUAACUUAUAUUAAAACACUCAUUCAAGAAGCAAGAAUUGCCCCAAACCCUCGAAUUUAUAUUUCCAAAUCUGUUCUCAGCUGAUGUGAGAUUUUCUCCCCAACAAUUUGUAUCCCAAGUUACAACUAUUUGAUGUUUGUGUACUAAAUCAGGCUUAUUUAAAGUCUAAAUAUACACCAAGUCAUUAGUCACGCAUUACCAUUUGUCUUAAUAUAAAUAGAUCCAGACACGUAUUCUCACCCCCAAUCUUCACGUUAAUUUGCCAGAAUAGAAUAAUAUGUUGAAUUUGCAAUAAUAUUGACAUUAAAUAUCUGCUAAUUAAACAAUUGUAACUAGUGGCCCAGUGGCUUGCCUCUUUGAAAACGAAAAUGUCUUGCCAUGUAAGUAAGGGCUUGAAGAAUUAAUCUCAGGUACUAUUCGAACUAACCAAGUCUAUUUUAUAUGUUGUCGUGUGGAGGAGCUCUAUCUUAAAACCAACAGAAUUAAAGCUAUUAAAUUAAAUAAUGACCAUGUAUUAUGCAUUUUUCAACAUUUAUUCUAAAAAUAAACGAGACAAAACAAAAAUCAUGCUUGUUAUUCAAGCUACCGUGUAGGUUUAAUUCGUACUUUAGACUAUCUUAUUCAAACUUCAAAGCAGACCAAGUCAUUUCAAAUGAAAAUUUCCAGUUAAUUUUACAGAAGUCAAACCAUGCCCCCCACGACUUCAUUUGAACAAAUUAGUAUAUAAGGACAUAAAUAUGCAAGUACCAAAAUCUCCAACAAACUCACAAUAUAAUUACUUAAAAACAAGACAAUAGCUCCUCAAGUUCAUCAACCAAAUGGAAUUCCGAAGAACAAACGUUAGCUUCUUCACAUACUUGUUCAUUUUCACCAUUUUGUUCGCUUCAUGUUCAAUACAAUUUGGUGCAGCUUCGAGGCCUUUGCUUGAGAAGAAAUAUUUUGAGAACAUUAUCAAUCAGUCCCUCCAGAAGGGUCCUGUGCCACCUAUUGGCGGGUCUCCUUGCACUCAUAUCCCCGGUGGUAGCGGUCACUGCCAUAGAUUAAACGGUAUGCACUUUGCCGGCCGUGUCGCUCGUGCACCGCCGCCGCCUCCCUUUCCGGCCGGCAGAACUGUUAUUGAUUUCUCGGUGUCUUCCCAGAAGAGUGAGAAUAACAAGCAAGAUGCCAGUUCUUGAUAUCACAAUGUUUAAUUAUUUCUUUUUAUUUUCAUUUUACUAUUCUUUUGUUUGAUUUUUACUUUGAUUUUUCAUUUUUUGGGUUGGCCAGAACUGGGGAUGCUGAUUGUCAACCGUUAUUGGCCAUAUAUAAUAUGUCAUAAUUAAGCCAUAAUUAUGGUUCAUAAUGCUUUGUUAUUAGUGUUGGCUUUGAUGUCGACAUGUCGUUUUAGUACGACAAAUGAAUUUGUUCUAUGUAUAGUUACAAAUCGUACUAGUUACUUGUUAACAGUUUCAUAGUUUUGUCCCGCGCUAAUAAUUAAUUAAUUAAGCUGCUAUUGGAUGCCAUUAAGGAGAUGAAAGCCUCAUGAACUCAAUUAAUCACAUAGAUUAUGAACAUUAAAUUAUGAAUAUGGCAAAUAGCAUUAAGCAUCCAAUUAUAAUACAUACAUAUUAACGUCAAUAAUUCGGUAAAUUUCCUUAACAUUCCUAUGAUUUUCUUAUAUACCCCAAUAUCUCAACAGUUUGUAAAAUGAACCCAACGUAUUUAUAUCUCUCAAUUUUUGGCACAAAUUGAUCAUAUACACUGUUUUAGGGUUUGAAUCAGAAUUUUGACCUGACACAAAUCGAAUCACAUUUGUGGACAAUUUUAUGUGUAUUUUGGUUUAGUGGUUUGGCUUUAGAUGAAAUUACACUAAAUACGGACUCAAUAAUAUAUAUUGUGACUUAGUUGACUUUUUAUUUUUGCAAAAAUAUGCCAAAAAUUUUCAUGAACUUUCACAAAAUACUCUUAUUACAAAUUAAAUAUAUUUAUUCAAAUUAUUACUACUUAACUUAUCACACGACGUACUAUUUACUCAACUUAUUUGACUUGCUUUUCAAUUUUGUCAUAAAAAUCAAGAUGGAUUCGGAUAUUCUUGAAUUAUUAGAGUUUUUUUUUUAAGGCUAUCUUCUUCUUCUUCUUUUUUUUGUAAUAAAAAAGAAGUUUCUUAAUAGUAGAUUUACCUAACAUAAUUUAGUGGGCGCAUCUUUGAAAUUUCUAAUUAAAAGACAUACUGGGUAUGUAUUUAAAUAUUAAUAAUAAUGCUAAAAACCCUUUGUCCUCACUCGUUUAUCCUUAAGGUCUUAGUUUGAAUCUUUCCAAACACAAUUUUAUAAAAAUUUCUCGUGAUGUAGUUAAUUCGUGUCGGGUCAAAAUAUCCAUACCUAAUCUGAAUCGAAACCAUCAAGAGUAAAUUUGUCAAAUCCUGAAAAAAUGAAAACUUCUAAUUUAUUAAAUAUCUUACCCUGUUCUUUUAAGAUUCACAAAUGUAAUUCGGACUGGGUCAAAAUUAUCUUACCCUGUCCGAAUCUCAACCCAUGAAGGGUAAAACUAUCAAAUUAAUUAUGUAAAAAUUUGAAAGGCAAGGAUGUGUUGCGUUGAGAUAUUUUACAAAUUAACUAUGAAAGAUAUAAUAGGAUAUUGGACCAGACCAUAAGGAUGUCACAAAGAUUUGGUUGUAUGAAAUGUCAUACGAUUAACGUAACACGAAUUAAAUAUGAAAACAGAAGUCUCAAGAUUUAUAACUUCAAAACCAUGAUUCAAAUGUAAGUCGCUGAGGAGACACAAGUAACAAGCUCAGGCCGAGAGUCAAAGAAAUUAAACUCCCAUAUGCGGAGCAUGCCAAGACUAAAUAAGAGUUUAUAAGACUCAGACUAAAGGUCUAGCUUAGAGAACUUGGAAUUCUCUUUUUGAAUUUGUGAUAAUAAAGACGUGACCAAUGACCAUGUUCAAACUUUGACAUAUCUCUUCUUGCUUACCAAUUUUUCCUUCUUAUCAAUGGCAAUGCUUGAAAAUAUCUUCUUAUAUAUCUUGAGAGUUUAGAUUCGGUUUAAGCUAUAUAUGUUUAUAUUAUAAAUCUUCUAUUCGUCUCUCUUUACCAUAAUAACAAUACAUCUCUCAAACAUUAUAAUUUCAGAGUUAGAGGUUUAUUUGUCAAUUAAAAGAAAAUGAAAACAAGAACGAAACCUCGGUUUCGGCAAAACUAUUGAUAAUCCUUUGACCAAUAAAUAUUCCAAUAAGGGAAAACAAAAAAUUUGAUGACUAGCAAAUUAUCAAAAUGCUAUUAAAAGUCACAUUAGAAUUUAGAACACGACGUAGCAGGCUAUAAAAGCCGUCGUGUAUACUCAGCGUCCAUUGCCCACGUUUUUUUUUCUUCUUUUUGAAAAGGUCCAUUGCCCACGUUCUUCAUUCCAUUACAUUGUUCAAUAUUUUAGAAGUCAACAUGGGGCCGCAAAAUUGAUAUGGCAGUCAAAUCACGGUUUUGAAGUUAAUUUAUUGAUUCUAAUUUAAUUUAAUUUUCAGUAAAUUGAAAUUUGAUCCAUUCUGAGCAUAAGUAUCAUAUGCUGCAGUGGUAGGUUAAAUUCAUAUAAUUAAUUUAUCUUCUAUCAUGAGAAAUAAUUAAUAACGUGAGCGAAUAAAAUUAAAAAGCAAAUUCUUCCAUACAAAUCGAUAAUUCCUUUGGAUUAAUAUAGAUAUAUUGAUGGAUCAGAAUUGGAGAACAUUCUUGUACGUAGAGUAGUAGGACGUACGUCUUUGAACAGCGGGUGCUUGCAUAUUUAUUCAUACUGUGCCAAUCAAUACGAUGUAUAAUAAGAAAAUGUGUUUUUUGAGUCUCAAGUGGCACCCCUGGUCAAAGUAAAACAGCCCACCAAAUUCAUUCUCUCUUUUCUCAUAUCCAAAAAAGCCAACACAUUCUCAAUUUGCAUACGAAAUUAAUUUUUUAUUUUUAAAUGAACAAUUAGCCAUGUUUUGAGUCAGAAUCCACUAUCAUCUUCUGUUUUCUUGGCAACCAGACAUUUUUUUUUUUUUUUUGGGAGCCAAACCUCGACUUGUGGAAAAAAAAAAAAGUAAAUAAAACAAUAAACAUGGUCAGAGGUAUAGUAAUGAAUUAAUGAUCAAAUCCAUGGAAAGAAAUAUUAAAUUCUCCGUUGGCGCAUACAAUAUCAGCAAUUAAUCCAGGAAUUAAUUGUCUAUUUUUAAUACCAAUUUCAACUGUUAUUAAUUAUCAUUGAGAUUGAUAUUUCAGUUACUAUAAAUAACUUAUUGCGACGAAAAAUAUAGUGGCGGUACUUGUAUUUUUGGACAUCUAAAAUGAUCAUUUGAUACAAUCAUUUUAUUCACAAAAACAUAUACUACAAGUUUUUGUUGUGCCAUAACAAAUAUAAGGCGACUAAUCUACAAUUAAUACGACAAAAUUUGAUGUUGCAAAAUAUGUGCCAUUUUUCCUGUAGUGGGAUAACGAAGAAGUUUGAGGAUAGAAAAUAGAUACACAGUGGCAUGAACUCUAGCCGAAGAUUGUUCUAAACCAAACAGAUGAAAAUAAAAUAAAAGAAAAAGGCAAGCGGCUAAUGCUAAAACUUCUCUGUUUGUUACAUAAUACAUUAUAGAUUAUACAAGUAACAUUAUUCAUUAUUCACACUGGGUAUUCUUUUACAAUAAAAACUUAUCUCCAAAUUCUCAAAUAUUGAGGAGAUAUACAUAUGUUCUUCUCAAUUGACAAAACUAUUAACCCAAUAAUAAUAAUAAUAAUAUAUUAUGUACAAGUGGCAAAUAUCAAUUAUGACAAGAAAUAAUAAUAAUAGUUAAUAAUAGAAAGAAUGCAGAAAUUAAGGCUAUUUACGGCUCUUUCUUGAUCUCGCUUUGUUCCAAUAUCAUGAUUCUUCAGAAUUCAAUGGGCAAAUGAAACGUAAUGAGCUUCGCUUGAGCCUUUCAGGUUUCUGAAUUUGAAAAUUCAAGAUCCUAGAAUCCAAUUCAGAUGUGACGAGCAGCUUCAACAUUACUGCUUGGUAGCAAUGCCAAAAGGGACCAAGAGAUGAGGAUACGCGGUGGGACGAGGCAAAGCAUGACCGGCAACGUUCAUUUCCUUGACGGGACAGCCGGAGCCGCCGUUUCCGGGAAUGAAUGUGCAGCCGGAGCCGCCCGGAGGAGUUACAGGACCCUUCUGAAGAGACUGUAAUAUCAGAACCUCUCCAGGCAAAACCCUACUAGCUUUGCAUGGCAGCGGAGUAUGGACAAGAAAAAUGACAAGAGCCGCCAAAAUUAUUUUAUUGAUGAGAUGGCUCAUGACUCUUGCUAAUUAUUAAUUAACAAUGUUAAGGAUGGAUCAUUUCACGAAGGAUGUGGGGAUAUUUAUAGCCAGUUUUCCAUUUGAUUUUUUUUUUGUUAGAAAGAUUUGACUAUUGAAUACUAAGUUUCCUUUUUUCUUCCUCCCCUUUUUUUUGAAAAAGAAAAAUAAUAAGAAAAGAAACCUAUUGAAUAUGGGUCAUAAGCAAGCUACUAUUGGGAGGUUUUUAGACUUUUAGGACUCCAAGUCCCAUGUUUCUUCCCUAUCUUGUUUAAUUUAAUAAUAAUUUACAGAGAUUAGUUAUGGGAUUUAAUUGCUUAAUGCGAUCAACGUUGGCUUCUGUGGGAGGAAACUUCUUGGGAACUUGAUCUGCUUGGACCUUGAAUGCUUUGAGUGACUGGAAAAGUGCUUAUUUGAUUAUGACUUUGAAUGAAAUUAGAUCAUCAGUUAAGUCAUUGCAUUGGUGGUAUCGUUUUGCCCAUUUUUUUUUCCCUGUCUUGGUGGAUUAAAUUUUCUUCUUCUUGGGAUUCAGACAAAAAUGAUAAGGAUAUUAGAAAGACCUUUUGGAACAAUAUUUCAUUUUACACGCAAGCACAAGCAAGUCUAGCUGUGAGGGUAGCACUAUCCUCACUGUAAUUGGAUAGAUGUGCACGACAAGUUAAACAAUCAAAAUGAAAAUCAAACACUAAUUAAUCGUGCCUUUAUAAUAAUGUUUCUAUGGCAGCCAUUUGCAUCUGGACCUGGAUAUUUCCUCCGCCGUCUUUAAUAAACAGAUUAGUGGUAGUGGUGUCGGGCAUCUUCAAGCAUAAUCUAUAUUAAUAACUACUCUAAAUUUCCAAUUAAACAAUUCUAAAAAGAAAACACAUCAAAUUAGGCAAAAAUUAUCUAAUCAAUGACUUUAGCUAUCACGAUAAUGUUGAAAAAGAAAGUAAUUCAUUUGUUUAGAGGUCUCAGCACUGAGGGAUAACGACAUAGUUUUUAUCCCCCAACAAUACCAACAAAAACAAAUUAUUAAAAAUAUGGAAAACUCAGCUCUAGAUAAACUCAUUCCAUUAAGUGUGCUACAGAAUAUUAUAAAGCAAUGUCUAACUAACUUUCUUGGAAAAAAUGAGCUGGCCUAUCAGAAUUCUGGAGCUGCAAAUAGCAGUAACAAGACGAAAAUGUGAAAAAUGAUCUAGUCAAAUAAACUCAAUCCCAUGUCAUCGUCACUUUCUUCCUUGGUUUCCUCCUGAUAAGAGAAAAAGGACGACACAACCUUAAUUAGAAAAUGACCGCCACAAUAAAGCCCUUAAAAUUUAAGCCACAAACGCAGAAUGGAAAUGAAUUAACAAGCAAAAAUAACUUUGGCAGGUAGCUCAACUUGAAACUGUAUUCUAGUGGGGCGAACCAAAGACUGGAAACCAAUUUUCAGCAACCAAAUUCAAGAAGAAGGAUUGCAUCAGAAGCGACUAAUUAUUUUCUAGAACCCUCAAUGACAAAGAGGAGUUUUUUAAAAGUAAUAGCUAUUGCUAAAACCGUUCAGCGGCAGAAACAAUUGUACAAGGAGAUGUUCCCAAAUAAGCAGCCGCAAAACAGUCCAAAAUCAAACUACAUAGCAAAUUCUUCGAGGGGAUAUAUGUAACAUAAAACUAGAGAUCUAAUGUAGAGAAUUACCAUCCCAUAUUAUUCUCAAGCAGUCUGAUAGGCAAGUGAUAGAGUUAUCUGAAAAUAAAAACCCAUCUAAAAGAAACUGGCUGGUCUAAGUAUUGCUUAAAUUCGACACAGAGAAUAGUGCACAUAUAUAACUUCUGCAGAUCUGAACAAGUGAUCUCUGUGGGACAAAAGGCUGACUCUAAAACUAGUUUACAUACAAUGAGUUAAUUAGUGCAGUAUUUCUACAGCUAAUCAUCGAACUGAUUAAGGCUGAAAGCAUGAUUGAAAAUUACCUUCUUUUCCUCGACAGCAGCGGCCAGCGCAGCACCACCUAAACCGCCAGAGGCAACAGCAGGGGUAGCUACUGCUAGAUGUGCACCACCUAUAUUCAAUUAAGAAACAACAUCAAUAACAUCAGUUGAAAGUUAAGAAAGGAAAAGCAAGAGCUUGACGUAACUCCAUCCGGAAAAUGGGUUACCAGACCCAACAUUCAGAUACAAUUCAUCAGCACUUCUCUUCUCAAAGAGCUUGGAGAACAAACUCGGUCAGCAAGAGUCAAUAUUCACGUUUGCAACCUUGAUCAGAGUUGCAAUCUUCUCAGGCUGAGAAGUAAAAAAUGAAAACUCAACCAAGCCGCUAUCGAUAGUAUUAUGCGGCCAGAAAAUUUGCACAGUAUCCAUAUACUGCACUCUCAUUCUCUAAACUAAAAAUAUACUCUACAAAAUAACAUCACUAAAACUUCUACAUAACAUCACUAGCAUAUGUGCAAGCCAGCUCUCCGAUCGACAUUUUUCUUCUUGAAAAAAAGUGCAUUAAUUUGGAACCAAAAAUAAAUAAAUAGAGAUAAUUUUACUGUUAACAUUAAAAAAAUCAUUUUUAAUUCUACAUUACCUGAAUUGGUCGCCAGAGAUGAGAAUUAAAGCUUUGGUGUUUAGGGCAAAGUUUGAUGUUCUUUCACUCUUCAAAAAUUAAAACCCUGAAUAUAAGUACGCCGAUUUCGUUAGUGGUGCAUAUGUUCUAUUAUACUGUAUAAAUUUUUAUAGUGUUGAUAAUGGAGUCAUUAUGGGCACUUGGAUUUAAAUAUUUUAAUUUUUAUUAUUGAUUUAAUUUAGUGGAUAAAUAAUUAAGGAUAAGAUUAUUUGAACCCACCAAACUACUCACGAAACCCAUUUUUUUUUUUUUUAUGAUUAAAAGAAUGAUACUAUUGGCACCCCUCAAAAAUUCUUAUGAAACUCCUCUACUAUGUAUUUACACAUUUAACUUUGUUGAAAUUACAAGAACUCUAAUUCAAAUAAAAAAGAAAUUGUAAAAACUCCUUACAGCCCUAUAUUACCCCAAAAAAAAAAAAAACAAGCCAUAAAACAAUAAACCUAAGCAAAAGAGGCAUAAAUGCAUUUUUCUAUUACCCGCAGAAUUAGCAAUCAAAGGGGUAUUUAAUACUUAUAGUUAGUCGUGGUGGCUUAUUUUUUAAAGUUUGUUUACAGGUUAUGAAAAACUCUGUUUAUUGAGUUUGAUAUCUAGCUGAAUGUUACUACUGGUCAUGAGAUUUGUUUAAAAAAUUAUUUCAGGGUUCAAUGAGAAGGAAGAAGGUAGGACUUUUUGAUGAAUUAAAAUGAUGUUAUUAGUAUAAGAGUAAUUUUAGUACUUUAAUUAAUAUGUGCGCUCGAAAAAGGGGUUUUACGAGAUUAUUUGAGUGGUACUAAUAGCUCCACUCAUGAUUAAAAUACUCUUAAAGUAAAUUACAAUUAUACAAUUAAAAAUAUAAUUUUUUUUAAAAAAAAAGAAUUUUUGCUCAUUGUACCCAUCUUUUCAUUCAUCAGCGCUGUCAACAUACUCAUUGAGAAGUUUCAAAAUAAUUUCCCUGCAUUCGAUCUGUAAAAAGUUACUUCUAAAGGCUGUGGCUUAUUUUACGUUGGUGAUUUUUCCAUGGUUCUGCUGGCACUUAAAGAUGUAAUUAGAGAUGUAAGGAUGGAGUAUCGAGGACAAGAAAGGUCGCAUCUCACAAAGCUCAGAAUAAACGGUUUGCCCAGUACUUCCCUUUAUGGCUCUUGAAUUGUCAAGAUAUGGCUAUAGUUUCGAAUUGUGUAGCAAUGAAUUUUCUUUUGAAAAAAAUAUAAAUAAUGUGAAGGAUGAAUUUUUACCUUAGCUAUAUUUUUCUGAAUCACGUUAAUAAAGAAAAUCUUUAGUUUAAUGUAAAAAAAGAAUUUAUUAAGAGUUUAUAAAUGAAUUUAAUGGGUUUGCUUAGUAGAAACACUAUUAUUACAAAAAUUGAGUUUGAAGAGUAUAUUGGGUACUUUAAUAGGUUUAUUGAAUAAAAUUUAAAAUUUCAAAAUUUGAGGGUGGGUUUAUUUAAUAAAUAAGUUUACUGAGUAAUUUAGUAAGUUCAAAUAGUCAUACCCAACAACUAAUUACUUAAUAAUUAAUGGAUAAUAUUCAAGUUCAUGGAUAUAAUUUUACUUUUUAUAAUUCCAUUAAUAUUUUAUAAAUCACAAAUAAAAUUAAAAAUUAAAUAUGCAAAUAUAUAAAUUAAUUUAGAUGUGAAAAUAACAAAUAUGGAUUAUUCAAUCAAUAACACAUGUUAAUUCAGACACGUGUUUUCAUUUAUAAUUGGGACAAUAUAAUUUUGACUUCUUAGUUUUAUUCAUUGCCUUUUUUUUAUUUUCUAAAAUUACUCAUUGGUGAAGAUUGAAUUGAAUUAUUGUUGCAAUUUUUAUUAAUCUAGUAAAUUUUUGUUGACAAUAAGAUAAUAAUAAUAAGAUAAACUAAGAUAGAGUUGUGUUAAUAUUAAAAUACAUAUAUUUUCAAAGGAAAUAUAGAAGUAUCAACAGACUAUACUUGUUUCUUUUUAUUAUUUAAUCUUUAAAAAACAUGUUUAACAGAUUUGAUCAUUAGUAAAUUUAAAUUUUUAAUAAAUUGAAAUUAAAAUAUUAUCCUAAUUAAUUUUUAAUUUUAUGAACAGUUGGUUAAAUCUAAUGGUAAAUAUUUAUAUCACUAUUGAUGUUGUUAUUUUUAUAACAGCAUCAUGAAGUGACCAUUUAAAAAUAAAUAUUAAUAAAUAUUAAAUUUAUUAAAACGUCAUUUAAGCUUUGUGUACUACUACCGAAAAUAGAUUUUGAACUAUAUGAGUCUUUUAGUUCAAGUUUCAUACCUCUUAGAGUUCGUUUCAGAUUAUUUUUAAAGGCUCAAAAGUGAUUUUAGAAAGUUAAAAAUUAAUUUUGAUAUUUGGUAAAUUUUUUUAAAAAUCACUUUUGGUAAAAUCACUUUAUCUAUAGCAGAUUUUGAAUAGGUGGGAAGGAGAAAAUUUUAAAAUCUGAUUUUUAUAAUAAUUUUUAUACUUAAUACAAUUCCACAGAUAUUCUCAUAUAUAUUAUAAAAAUCUAAAAUUAUCCUUAUUAAUUAGGAAAUAAAAUCAUUAGCUUUAAAGAGAUUAUAAUUAUCAAUUAUAUUAAGAUAACAAAAUAAAAAAUAAAAAUAAUAAUAUAAAAUGUUUAUUCUAGUUAAUCAAGUAUUAUAUGUACACAAUCAAAAAUAUUUUAUAUACAUUUGUAUAAAUGUGUAAAUAUAUUUUAUAAAAUAUUAUAUCCAAUUCAGUAAUUUACAUUCUUAUUUUACUUUAAUAGUAAAAAUUUACCAAACACAAACAAUUGUUUUUAAGACUUACAGUGCUUUUUUAAAAAAUAAAUUUUAUCAAAUAUUUAACUGAUUCUUUUCACAACUAAUUAUUUCUAUAGAACAACUAACAUUACCAAACUAGUCCUUCGUAUUUCUACCACCGUAAGAACUUUACCCCUUAUAUCUGUGUGAGUAAAAUUAAAACAGACCACAAGCGUCAAUUAGAUCAUUUAUUAAAUUGCAUUUAGUUAGAGAAACCUUGGUACAUUGCAUCAUUGUGUAACUCACAUCAAUCUAAAAAUUAUUUAAAAUAAAUUAAAUAUCUUUCAGUUUCUGAUAUUAUUAAAUUAUAAAACAUUGAUAUAAAUUACAGAAUUAAAUAACUGAGCCACACCCUCAUUUGGAGAUUCAUGUGAAUCCGAUACUGCAGCUUGAAAGGGCACGCCGACCAUCUAUCCACAGUGAAGAUGGUAAGUCGUUUGCCCACGGCCACGGGCCAUGAUAAGAAAGUUGACAUGGUCUGGCCUCAGAGAGCUACUGAAAUGCACACAAUCAGACGCGUCAAAAUGUGGAUCACAUUCAUCAUACUUGGCGCUUUAUGCCCCUUUGAUCAUCAAAGGUGAAAGUAAAACCAAAUCACAUGAAAAGCUCAUUUCUAUGAAAAGAACUAAAAUAGCUGAAUGCAACAAAGGCAGAAAACACUCUUUACAUAAUAUUUUUUUUAUGGAAAGAUUACAUCCUCACUCCAAAUCUAAUAACCUCCACAAUUUCUUCCAAUAAAUUAUUACAACGGGAAAGCCUAACCCUCUGGUUUGAGGACCACCUCCGUUGUAGCUUCGUCCUCUUCCUCUAAUGUCCAUUUGAAGGUCGGAACACUGCAUAGCCAUUGACCCCACAUGCCAUAUUUGAAUACUCCGGGUGAAAAAAUGGGUAGCCCUCGCCCUCUGUGUUUCUCAUGCCCAUUAAAGAUAGAUCUGAACCAGGCAUCGGCCACAUGGUUGGAAUCAUCCCAUCAAUCUGGCCAUUUGAAUAGGGCAGAGCAGUAGCUUGAGGAAUAAAUUCCCUUACAGAGUCAAAAUGGCCAACAGAAGAGCUAUAACCCCUUUGGAACCCAUCAUCAUGGUAACUCCGUGUACGCUCAAACUUACAUGAGCCAGCAGAGGACCCAAUGUCACUUGACAUGCUGAUAUCACGGGGAAAAGAGAACUGCCGAUUUAAUGUGUGCGGCCCAUUGCUAAGAGACUGCAGAACUGUGCUUGCCCCAGCAGCCAUCCCAACACCAUGCUCAUCAUCAAGCAAGUCAUUGAUGAUAUCAAGGUGUGGGAACUCGUCCACCAAAACACCUUGGGUUUGACGUCCAGAUGUACCGGCUGGAAACUCAUUCGAGAAGUACUCCUGGGAUCCACUUGGGACACGCUUAUAUAGGUCAAGGUUCUGAAUGUCAUUGGCCAUGGAAGAAGGAUCAGAAUGCACGAUUCUACUGGCAUCCCUUUGAGAACUCUCUAUCCACUGGUGUCCACUCUGUAAAACAUCCCGAGUUACCAUGCUAAAAGGAAAGGCCGACUGGACCGAAUUUGGGUCAAUCCUUUCAGAGUUCUGGGGUAAAAAAAUAGGUGCAGAUACCAAGGCCUGCUGCUGUGAAUACGCUGGUGAUGGGCCCAAACUUGAAGAGUUGGGAUGAGUUAAGCCAGGUGAACUUGAACCAACAGGAUUUCCCAUUUUAACAUUUCUAUAGGACUGAGGAAUAUAACCAUGGGUAGCAGGUGCGAGGUCAGGACCUAACCGGCCAGCUGCACUAACUGAACGGGCAAGUAGCGGGGCUGUAUGCACCACAGAAACAACAGGAGCAGUUGGCCUAGGACCAGGGACAAGUGGAGCACUAGAGGGCCUCGACAUAUUAGGCACUUGCGGAUCCAUAAGUUUUUCAGUCGGUUUUGAAGCUGCAGCCUUCUGGAUCUCAGGUUUGCAAACACCUGCACCAGGGGAUGAAGUGCAGGAUUCAGCAACUUGAUCAGUCUGCUGUUGCCCAUUUGAAAGUGAUUUCACUUGCGGAACAGGAUCUGCAGUAGCAAUGCUCUUUGGCACUGAUUUCAAUUGCACAGGAGACUGCAGAUUUCUAGGAGGGCUUCUUGGGGAGGAUGGUACAGCUGCUGUCUUCUCUUUAGGUCUUUCUGUAUCAACCGGGUCUUUCAUGCUUGAUUUCUUUUGCGGUGAAGAAGCUUCUUCCUAUUAAACAAAAAAGAAACAAUGUAAAAAAUAAAAGCUCCACAUGAAUGUGUGGAAAUGACCAUUAAAUGAUAAAUUAAAAUCCUUAUAGAUUAAAAAUCCUUAGAGAUUAAAAAGAAAACAUUUCUUUUUUACACAAUACAGUCAUAACAAAAUUUGUAUAAAAUCCUCAAAUAAAUGGACAUGCUUCUAAAACAGUACCUUGAUUGACAUACAUAUUUGCAAUCGAAGUGUCUCAGAGAUCAUAGUUAAUCGUAUCUAUUUUUACCCCCAAAAAAGAGGAAUAAAUAGGACUCUGCAAAAUUACUUGCAUAUUUUCCUCUUAAAAAAAAUGAAAAUAUAACAAAACAAGAAACUAUUUUCCUAGGUAAUAUAACCCAAACAACUGCAUAGCCAGAACUACAUACAAUCAUAGAAAUCAGUCAAGUAAAUAAAGAAACUAAAAAGUGAAUAAAAACUUUCAUGCUUAUGAGAUGCUUUGAUUGCUACUAAAUACUUUAGAAUUCUCACCUACAAAAAUAUCUGAGAUUGGAGUUAAGAGCUGCAGUAACUCACCUUAGCGACAUUCUGUUCAGGCAAUUUUGCCUGAUGCUGCAAGGAAGAAACAGCCUCAGACUCGUAUUCACCAGACUUACUGCUUUCGGAGAUAUCAUUGUGUUCCCCUGCAUCAGCAGCAGGCCUAGAUGGCUGAUUCUCUGUUUCAGUUGCCCAAACAUUUCCAUCAUAUGUAGACUUCCCCCGCUGGUUCUUCCCCCUACAAAUUACACAAGCCAAAUCAAAUGAACAAAGAAUAUUCUCUUAUCGUGCCAAAAACAAAUAGAUAAAUGUAGGCGGUAUGUUUACCUGCUGGGCGACUUUUGAUUUUGGUAGUUGGCAAGGGAAUUCCCUUUAUAGGGCCCAUACAUUACCACUGAUGGGACUGAGUCGGUAGAACAUGUGGAGGAACUAUCAUCCAUUACAGAUGCGUUCCGUUUUUCAGUUACUCCAUUAGGUACAGAUGAUAGAUUACAAACUCCACUGCUGCUGGCUUCUGUGGGAGGAAUAACUUCAGAUGCAUCAGUAUCCCAAUUGACAGGGCUAGUAUCUCUGUCCUCUGAAUCAGGCUGAAGUACUUCUGCACCACCAUCCACUGAAUCAGAAACAUCAGAAACAUCUUCCAGCACAUCAGGCUUUUCAGGCAAUGGUUGGGCAUCCUCUACAAUGAAUUCUUUUUUCUCAUUACUAGGGUUUUCAUCUUCAAGCCUGUCUGAGAGAGCCAUGCUGGACCUUUCCUCCCUCUUUUUCUCUUUCCCUUUGCGAUUGUUCCGUUUUUGUUUAGCCUACGAUAUACAAGAAGAUAAAAUUCAGCAUUGCCCCCACCGAAAAAAAAAGGGCAAUCCAUGUGAAAUCGAGGAAAUUGUGAGAGAGUGAAAAAACUGACUAUUCUUCACUAGAGUGCAGAACUGCACAAAAAAUAGAAACACAUACACAAUGCAAGAACAAACAGAAUAGCCAAAAAGACACAGGAGUAAAUAAAUAUAAUUGAGAAGGCAAGUAGCUAGCUUUAAAAGAGAAAAAAAAAAUGAAGAAUAUCAGCAAAUCAUUUGUCGCAGAUCAGGUGAGAUGGCCGAAACAGAGAGAAUGAUUGAUGACAACCACCUUAUAAACACCUUCUUUUGCCCUAAACUCCCACGUAAUAAUUUGUAACAAACAAGUUGAAUUAGGAGGUAAAAAUUUCCAAUACCCCUAAAAAAUUUUAGGCUUUGCAAAAUAUCAAAACUGCUUUCUCAUGAUUUCACCACGUGGGCUGUCUAACUCUAGGCCCAAAAGACGUGCAUAUAUUAGGUUAUAUAGGUUUGAGUCUUAACGCAACUGGUGAUAGGAUGUCAUACCAGCUUUUUCUUUGCUUUCUUCUCCUUUUCAGCUGCUCCACGUUUAGCCUUCUGCUCACUUUCAGCCAGCCAUGCUGCCUCCUCUUCACGAAUUAGCUCUUCUUGUCUCUUCAGCGCAACAGCUUCCUGGUAAGCAACCUCAAUUUUAUUGCUGUAUGUAAAGAUGAAAAAAGUUAGGAGUAUGGAUAGUGAUAAGCAGUUACCGUGUCAUAAUUAAGCUACAGCCUCAAAAUGAUAACAAAUCACAUAUCUAUUAAACAUAGUACCUGAAUAUAUGGGCAAGGACAAAAAUCUCCACUGUUCUACGCCCCAGCUCUGUGAGUCUCCUUUCAUCACGCUCAAUUGAAUCCUUGUUAAAGUCCUCCCCAGAGUUACUCUCCUAAAAACAAAUAGGUAUGGAUGGGUUACUAAGCAUUAAAUGAUUUAAAAGAGAAAAACUUAACAUACUUCUGUGCAAACCAAGCAUGUGAGAGUGUGAGAGCGUGUGUGUGUGUGAGAGUGAGAGUGAGAGUGAGUGAGAGAGAGAANNNNNNNNNNNNNNNNNNNNNNNNNNNNNNNNNNNNNNNNNNNNNNNNNNNNNNNNNNNNNNNNNNNNNNNNNNNNNNNNNNNNNNNNNNNNNNNNNNNNNNNNNNNNNNNNNNNNNNNNNNNNNNNNNNNNNNNNNNNNNNNNNNNNNNNNNNNNNNNNNNNNNNNNNNNNNNNNNNNNNNNNNNNNNNNNNNNNNNNNNNNNNNNNNNNNNNNNNNNNNNNNNNNNNNNNNNNNNNNNNNNNNNNNNNNNNNNNNNNNNNNNNNNNNNNNNNNNNNNNNNNNNNNNNNNNNNNNNNNNNNNNNNNNNNNNNNNNNNNNNNNNNNNNNNNNNNNNNNNNNNNNNNNNNNNNNNNNNNNNNNNNNNNNNNNNNNNNNNNNNNNNNNNNNNNNNNNNNNNNNNNNNNNNNNNNNNNNNNNNNNNNNNNNNNNNNNNNNNNUAUUUAUAUCAAACUAUUGUAAUGUAACAAAUAAAGCUUGAAUUCAGCAUGUUAAAUGCAAUCUCAACCAUCCAAAAAAUAUAAUUCAAUAAUUCAAAAUAUAAAUAUGCCACAACAGUUGAUUCUAACUUACAGAAACACCAGAAAUUGACCCCCCAAAAAAAAAGUUAUUGAUAAAAAACUAAUGAAUUUCAAUAGAACAUAAUAGAGACAAUUACAAGAUGAGAAGAUGGUGAUUAUAAAAUAGAACAACAUAACAUCUAUUUCCAGGAAAUUCCAAAUCACUCUAAAAGGCAUACAUACUAAUGUUUUGAGGUGGGCAAUAUAAAUCCCUUUUUCUCCAUUCAGUUUACAAGAGGGCCGUGUCCUCUAUUUCUAUAGGAUGCACACAAUGUCAUUAUAGUGCUACGAGCCCAAAAUACCAAGUAUGAGAGCAGAGAUAAAAAGAGAUAGCAAGACUUAUAUCACCAAUUUCACAAGCCUCGCAUAAGGAGCAAGCCAUCAAUCUAUGCCUAAGGAUGCGGACCUAUUAGAAACUACUGCAUUAUAAAUAUGAAUCUAAAUUUCCACCACAAAAAAAGUUUUCUUAUUCAAAAAUUAUGUUAGCAAUGUCAGGCUUACCCAAAGCAUUUUGGGAUGAAUAGCCUUAAGCUUAAGCAUUAUGUAAGGAAUGUAAAUGAGAAUGGAACCAAGCCUGUAGUACCAUACUAAGAAAGUUGAAGGAAGAAAUUCCUUGGAAGGGUGUACAGAAGAGGACAUUAUGAUAACAAGAAUCUCACCAUUGUCGAUAGCAAGAGCCUCAUACUACUACCACAUUACCAACAUAAAUGCUGCCCUCAUCACCACAACCACCUAAAAACCUAUAUUAACAUAACCCAACCUAGAUGGCUACAACUUAAAGCACAAUGUCAUCCUAAACUUCAGCUUUGAAUGUAACAUUGCAUGAUCAGUGUCAUCGGUUCAUAUUUCUGAAGUUUCCAGCACAUUAACUAAUUGGAAAUUGCUAAGAAGUCAUUCAAACAAAAAGUGCACCGAUGUAACUAAGAAACCUUAUUAAGGCAGGCCAAACUUCACAGCUACUAUUAAAAUGGUUAAACUGAAUCAGACAACCCAAGCACAGUACUAGCUCAUACUAGCCAGACGAAGGCAUAACCCAAGUAUCACAAUAAAAGAAGUUCAACGUAUAAGAUCUCACCUUUGUACGAUUCUGAGGACCCUUCUCAUCUUUAGGUGGCAGAGGCUCUAAAGCAGCCCUCUCUAACAGUAGCAGAACAUCAUCCACCAAGACAAACAUAUCAUUCUCAACAUGAACAAUAGGAGGUGGUGUAUCUUCUGCAUCUAACAACUUUGCCUUUGUUUUCUUGGACUUAGACUGUCCUUCAAGAGCCUUCAAUCCACUAUACAAGGAAUCCAUUACCAAAGUAGAUGUGACUUCCUUCUCUAUAAAAAAGUGUUUCACAACUACUUUCAGAAUUGCAUCUGUUUUCUCUCUAGACAUACGGCGCCUGGCAUUCUGGUCAAUUCCCAACCAGAAUGCACAGAAGCUGAAAUCAUCACAAGUGAUAUGAUAUUAGUGCCAACAGAGCAGUAACCAGAUAUGCAAGAAUAUAUGCAGAUCAAGUCAGGUCAUAUAUACACAGUAUAAUGUCAUGCAUCUUCAGAAGAACCAUACAAAAAUUGAAAAAACAAUUUCAUUACCCUAUCUUCCAAAAGUGCUUUAUUAAGCAUUGUUAACAGAAUAGUCAGCAGUUUAAGUUGACAAAGGUAACAAUAUAAUACUUGCCUUGACCACCUAGCUUUAUCCUCUAUUAACCUUCCAAGUUUCCCUCGCCUUUCUUCUACAAAACGCCGACAUAUUUGCUCUACAUUAGUCAAAUAUACCCUAACAAGUUCUCUCCUGUACUGACAAUCAAGGCAACGAAAAGGGCGAUCUGUUUUCUCCCUACAAACCAAAAAGCAAAAUAUUAAAGUAUUUAUUGAAAUAGACUACAUUGUAAAUAACAUUCUUAAGAAGUAAUAGAGCAAAUCUUUUCACAAAAAAGAGCAAAACCAAAGAAUCACUACUCAUAAAAGCAACUUAUCAGAUAUCACUGAGGACUUGAUAGAUUAAGGAUAAGCUAAGCAGCGAAAAACAUUUUAUGGCCCAUUGGUACAGUCUAGUUGGACGAAACACCAACAGAGAAAAGAGAUUCCAUCAUUUAGUCAAUAUGUACCUGAUGACUUGAACUUGAGCUUUUAUAAUGAGAGUAUCACCAUCUUUAAACCCAUCAGAAACUUUUGAGAGCUCCAUAAACUUUUUCCAGCCCCAGUCAUGCUCUUUCUUCCAAAAUCGAUGUAAAGUAUCUGCAGGAUUUUACAUUUUGUCACUCAUAAAUCAAGAAGGCACUCAUUUUACAUCUACUGAAGUAAUUUUCAACCAACCAACCAGAAUAUUUGGAUUUCUUUGGAUCUCUAUUCACAACGGCUAUUGUAAACUGAGCAAAAUGACUCCAACCUGUUGAUGAACAGAGAAAGUUUUUAUUUAAAAGAAGACAAAUGUAAAGAUUCAAGAAAUAAUUCGAUACCAGUUUAUAAUAUCAGACCUGGAAGGAGUUUGUCAUGGUUGGCAACACAGAGGAACAAAGAUAGAUGAUUGCAAACAUCACAGCCUUGUGGAUAAAUCAGAAUAUACCUGUCACCACAGGAAAAAGGUUAAAUCAUAAAUGUGACAACCUUUAAACAUACAGGAUGGGGGGCAUAAUCUAAUAAUAUAACACUUAAAGAUAAUAAACUAAUGACUUUGCGCCGAGAAUGUAAAGUUCACAAAUGUAAAUGAAACAGCUGAAAAUUUACUGUUAAAAUUUUCAUCACUCCUAAUAAAUGAUUAAAUAUAAUUAAAUAUAUUUACAUACAACUGGACAUACACAUGAUAUCAUGAAAUCUCCCUCCAACAGCACCGAAAUAAGAAUAUCUGAACCAUCAAAACAUUGACUUUUAACAUAUCGAAAUUGAAAGAAGCUUCUGAAGUAUCUACUUUCAUACAAACGUGUGCGGCUAUCUUGUUGGUUUUAUGAGGGUGUGUGGGGGGAAAACCAAAAGUAAAAAAAUACAGCCAAAGGAAAUGGCCAAUAAUAUAAGCAGGAAUAGCAAUUGAGAAACAAAAUAAAUCAAAAGAAUGUAUAGAAAUCAAUCAUAUCUAAAACCUCGUACCAUUUGUAGCCACCAACUUCAAAUGCAUUACUACGAAGUUCUCGUUUGCUUAUCUGUGAAAAUUUCUCAAUCCUCCAUGUGUAUUUUCCAUAUAACUCGGAAGGUUUAGGCCCUAUAAAGAAGUUAUCUUAGCUUAAGAAGUGCACCGAACAGAAGGUUAUUAAAGAUAACAUAGGUUAAAAAAUCGACUAAAAUUUCUUCGUGCUGAGAUAAAGAAAUAAGUAAAACAACAAGACUAACACAGCAGAUAAUAAAUCAUAUGAGAUAAACUUAGUCUUACUUCUGCAGCAGACUAUGGAAUGGAAAGCAGGCACAUUUAGACUCAAUUAAGUAUUACCUUCGUAUCAACUACUUAUAUCGAAAGAGAAUGUACAGAAUAAAUUUUGACAGGCACAAGGGCAAUUUAAACAAACACCUUCAGAGAAUAACAGUUUGAGCAUUUUGAAGCAUGUUGAUUUUUAGUCUGUAUCCUUAACAUUCAACUUUUUUAAAACGAGCACUGACGAGAUAAAGAAGCAAGAUAGUUAGAAAUCCACAGUGAUAAGUAGAGAAGCAAUACUCGGUAUUAUCUUUUAAGAGGCAAAACAACUAGACCGUCAAACAAGAAACACAAGAAUAUUUCAUCAUAGAAGGCUCUAAAAUCACAC
rnacentral:lncRNA from 1 species